GACGAACGCUGGCGGCGUGCUUAACACAUGCAAGUCGAACGGAAAGGCCCUGCUUUUGUGGGGUGCUCGAGUGGCGAACGGGUGAGUAACACGUGAGUAACCUGCCCUUGACUUUGGGAUAACUUCAGGAAACUGGGGCUAAUACCGGAUAGGAGCUCCUGCUGCAUGGUGGGGGUUGGAAAGUUUCGGCGGUUGGGGAUGGACUCGCGGCUUAUCAGCUUGUUGGUGGGGUAGUGGCUUACCAAGGCUUUGACGGGUAGCCGGCCUGAGAGGGUGACCGGCCACAAUGGGAGUGAGAUGCGGCCCGGGCGCAGGCCGGAGGCAGCAGUGAGGGAUAGUGGACGAUGGGCUGAGGCCUGAUGCCGGAACGCCGCGGGGGGGAGGAAGGCCUUCAGGUUGUAGACCACUUUCGACUGCGACGAGGCGUGAAUGAAGGUGAUGUGUAAAGAAGGACCGGCUAACUCCGUA
rnacentral:rRNA from 1 species